GUUACUUCACCGGAACAAUUUCUGUGUUACACUCAAAGACCCGACCCGAGUCACCAAGAGGGCAUUUGUCAGUUUAAUGGCGUUGAUAUUGUGCUAAACUGAUAGGAUUUUAUGAAAUGUCUCUACAAGCAGAGUAUCGAGCUAUGUUUGCUUGGCUAUAGCAGUCAAUGCUGUCCGAGCGAGUAUUUCAAGAGCUCCAUCUGCCGCGAAUGACAGCAAGGAAGGAUGUCAGAUGCUGGGAACCAGUCAUGUCGGAUGCUGGCAGAGGACACCGUCAGCUUCUUGAUAAUUGCAUCCUCAUGUGUCCGUGCCGAUACAGCUAUCAUUGUGUGCGUCUUUCAUGCCUGGGAGGAAUGGGUGGGCCUCGGUCAGGUGGAGGACUACCUGAGUUUUUUGGAAUACUUAUUGUGGGUCUUCACCCCUCUAGCAAUUGUCUUUAUCCUGCCUUUUCUCAUCGUCAUCCUCCUUUACCUCUCGAUACUUUUUCUUCAUGUCUACAAGAGGAAGAACCAGUUGAGGGAGGCAUAUUGCAACAACCUUUGGGACGGAGCCAGAAAGACUCUGGCAACUCUAUGGGAUGGACAUGGAUCGAUAUGGCACGGCUACGAGAUCCAUGGGAUGGACAAGAUCCCUGACAAAGGAGCAGCGCUGAUAGUGUACUAUCACGGAGCCAUUCCCAUAGAUUACUACUACUUCUUAGCCAAUGUCAUUAUCCAGAAAGGACGAACCUGCCACUCUGUUGCUGACCACUUCCUUUUCAAAAUACCAGGUUUCAAGUUACUGUUGGAGGUGUUCAGUGUGAUGCAUGGUCCCCAGGAAGAGUGUGUACAGGCACUGAAGAAUGGCCACCUGUUGGGGAUCUCUCCCGGAGGCGUGAGGGAGGCUUUGUUCAGUGAUGAGACAUAUCCUCUUCUUUGGGGCAAACGUAAAGGCUUUGCCCAGGUUGCCAUCGACUCUAAGGUGUGUCUACUCACGACCGUAGAUCAGCUGGUCGGUGGGAUGGUCUGUCUCAGUCGUCUCAGGAGGCGAGGAGGCCAUUAUUCCAAUGUUUACUCAAAAUGUCCGAGAAGGCUUCAGAUCUUUGGGAACACUGAGAUUUUUCCGUUGGCUAUAUGAGACAUUUCGUCUUCCUGUAGCUCCUGUUUAUGGUGGAUUCCCAGUGAAGUUCCGGACAUUCCUCGGCGAUCCGAUUCCCUAUGACCCGAACGUAACAGCUUCAGAGCUGGCAGAAAAAGUGAACCGGGCCGUCCAGUCCCUCAUAGACAAGCACCAGCGGAUCCCAGGGAACGUUCUGAGAGCUCUUUUGGAGAGAUUCCACACUAAAUAUAAAGCCGAAUAGCAACAGCACAUCAACAUACACAAACUAUCCAUCAGAUGAGGAGAACAAAAAUGGGAUAUACAAGGUGUGUCCAAAAGACAGACAAGGCCGGGAAAGCGCACUUGACUCCAGGCGGGAAACUCAUGUAUCGCUUUUGACGUUCCGCAACUUUGCUGAUGACCGGUGCCCUCUUCAGACACGUUCUUUGGGUGACAAAGAUAAUAUGGAGUCAUUUUGUGCUUGGACUUGCUUUCUACGGGUUCCCAAGGAGAGACAAAAGCUCAAAUGGAUUUUUUGAAGAUGAAACAGUUGAGCAAGAGUUCGAUGAUCUCGGUCAAGUCAGUAACCGUGCGAACACUUCAUAUCACAGCUGUUGAUUUGAGCGCUCUUAAUAGGACUUUGUAAAUGUUUACAGCAUUAGACAAAAGGCCUAAUACAUUUAGUUAUGACCCAUUGACACCUAUUGAGGUUGGCCGCACAUUUGUUUUUGUUUUUUUUGUGAUUGCUAUUUUGUUGUGUAUUGGGAACAAAGACCUUUAAGUUAACAUAUUAUCAUUGAAAUAUGUUUUUGACAGAUUCUGUCUAAAUGUGUGUAAACACUAUGGAACUCCACCUUUUUUGUGGAAUGUUUUCUGGUAUGUAAAAUGGAAUUGGCAAGGCCAUCCAUUGGAAUUGGAGCUGGUUGGAAAAUAUCAACUACUUCACAAUACUACGCGGAAAUGCAAUUGGCAUUAUUCAUGUAUUCAUUCAUUCUAACCAUUUUCCGUAGCACUUAUCGUCAGUAGGCUCGCAGCUCGCAGACGUGGUGGAGCCUAUCCCAGCCGACGGGUCCGGGCGAGAGGCGGGGUGCCCCCUGAACUGAGCCCAUCGCAGGGCACGUACCGACAAACGGCCAUUCGCACCUAUGGGCAAUUUGGAGUGUGGGAAGAAACCGGAGGAACCAGAGAAAAGCUGGUCAGCUUUCCGGCGUUUUGUCACUGUAAUUUAUUUGAAAAUUGCACGUGUUUAUGCAAAUGUGCUGUUGUCUUGAAUGCUUUCAAGUUACAAAUUCAAGUCAAGUUCAAGGGAAAUCAACCAUUUCCAUGGGUUCCAUGGAGUUUUCAGUCUCCAUAGCAACCAUAUUUUCGAGAAGGGCCAGAAAUUCGAAUGACCCGAUUUCAGGCCUCUCGGCCAAAAAAUGUCUGGAACUCAGGAUUGCGUGGACGAUUUUAAUUCAUAUUUCAUGCUUAUUGAGGCACCAUAGAGACAUUAACCAUAAACAUAGCAUUUAGUUUGAGUUUUGGUGCAAUUGUAACGGUCGUUCCAUGACUCUGGGGAAUAGACUUUCACCUUCACUGGCCAUAAACCAUCAGUGUCCUUGCAUAAAACCGAAAUAUCGAAGGGGCACAAGUGCGCCCUUUGGAAGGUGCAUAUUGUGCAAUAGCAGAAUCGAAUCUUAUUCGUAGCGUUCCUAGAUCUCGAUUGCUUAGUAUUUGUGUAUCAGAAGAGAUUUAAUUGUCCACAUCGUGGUUGAGAUGCAGUGUCAUUUAUGACUUUUCUGUGCAUGUAAACACAUUUAUUUGCAUGUAUGUACUAAUGAUUCGACUGAUGAUUUCUUUCACAAAAAAAGCUUUGAAAUUGUGCCGCCAACUCAGAUUUCUUUUGUUGAAUGAUGGUAACUCGUUUGAAGUGAUUGUUUUAUCACUGUGUAAUGGCUGCUUUUCAUAUGUAUAUGUGUCGUCCAUUUACCUGAUUUUAAAUGAGACGAUCGAAAUAGGGCUCUUUUAAAUUUGAAUAAAUCUAUUUUUUUUAA